CUACGAGAACGCCAUAAAAGCCGUCUGCUACGGUUGCUCUCUCUCAUUUGAUAUUCAACUUGUGAACGAGCUAAACCCUGCGAACAUUGAUAAGUGCACAUCACGCUCUAGUGCUUUCUGCGGCUGAAAAUAAUUUAUUGAUCGCAAUGCAGCUGUCCAAGCAAGGCGUCAUGCUCCACCGUACCGAUCCAAUUUGUUGCCCUAAACGUGCGCUUUGAGCGUCGGUUUAUGGCAACAAAUUUAAUAGAAAUUACAGUGGUUGGUAUCUUUACGGAGCUGGACUUUGGAUGCGGUUGUUCUACUGAGUUCGGGGACACACGUACCGAUGGCUGGCUCUACUAAACGGUUCCUCUGCUAACCCGGCUUAUGGGGGGCGAGCUGUGACACGGUAUUGGAGAAUGCUGACAUAGUUCGUCUCGGAGUCGGUCCCAGUUUCUGGGAAAAUUAGCGUAAGGUUGAGUGGAUGGAGUUUGAAGUUUGUUCAAAUAAAUGGAAUUCAAAUUAUACUGGAA